UGGACAUCAAUUAGUAAGUCGCUCUGGAUAAGAGCGUCUGCCAAAUGACUUAAA
rfam:Salmo salar isolate Sally breed double haploid chromosome ssa06, whole genome shotgun sequence.